GCUUCUUUCACGUUUCACCAGUCUGCUCUGUUAUAGCCUCUUAGGUUAUAUCUUUUAAUUUCUAACCUCUCAGGUUAGUUUCUGUAACAGAACAAGUGAAUCUGGGAUGAAGUCCUCAAAGUACUUCAAAUGGUAAUUGUUUUGCAUUUGUAAUAGCUUAACAAAUAAACCUAGGUUUUCUA